rnacentral:rRNA from 1 species
AGAGUUUGAUCAUGGCUCAGGAUAAACGCUGGCGGCGCACAUAAGACAUGCAAGUCGAACGGACUUAACCAUUAGUUUACUAUUGGAGCGGUUAGUGGCGGACUGGUGAGUAACACGUAAGCAACCUGCCUAUCAGAGGGGAACAACAGUUAGAAAUGACUGCUAAUACCGCAUAUACCCAAGUGUCACAUGGCACAAUGGGGAAAGGAGCAAUCCGCUGAUAGAUGGGCUUGCGUU